rnacentral:rRNA from 1 species
GAUGAACGCUGGCGGCGUGCCUAAUACAUGCAAGUCGAGCGAACAGAUGAGGAGCUUGCUCCUCUGACGUUAGCGGCGGACGGGUGAGUAACACGUGGAUAACCUACCUAUAAGACUGGGAUAACUUCGGGAAACCGGAGCUAAUACCGGGUAAUAUAUUGAACCGCAUGGUUCAAUAGUGAAAGACGGUUUUGCUGUCACUUAUAGAUGGAUCCGCGCCGCAUUAGCUAGUUGGUAAGGUAACGGCUUACCAAGGCAACGAUGCGUAGCCGACCUGAGAGGGUGAUCGGCCACACUGGAACUGAGACACGGUCCAGACUCCUACGGGAGGCAGCAGUAGGGAAUCUUCCGCAAUGGGCGAAAGCCUGACGGAGCAACGCCGCGUGAGUGAUGAAGGUCUUCGGAUCGUAAAACUCUGUUAUUAGGGAAGAACAAAUGUGUAAGUAACUAUGCACGUCUUGACGGUACCUAAUCAGAAAGCCACGGCUAACUACGUG